AUUCCCUUUUAUUUAUUUUAUUACUAAAAACAUACAUGUCAUCGUCUCUCGUACAUAUCGAACUACCGAGUAUAGGCAACAUAACACACCUUUGUGCCCAGCCAUUUCCAACAGUCGACACCUUAGCUCACAGCAAAACCAUUAAAAAACGAAUCUUCAUUGUCUACUCUAUUUCCCAGUAUUCUCAUAUAUGAAGGAAAUUCCGACC
rnacentral:lncRNA from 1 species